AACGAACGCUGGCGGCAUGCCUAACACAUGCAAGUCGAACGAGACCUUCGGGUCUAGUGGCGCACGGGUGCGUAACGCGUGGGAACCUGCCCUUAGGUUCGGAAUAACUCCCCGAAAGGGGUGCUAAUACCGGAUAAUGUCUUCGGACCAAAGAUUUAUCGCCUUUGGAUGGGCCCGCGUUGGAUUAGCUAGUUGGUAGGGUAAAAGCCUACCAAGGCGACGAUCCAUAGCUGGUCUGAGGGGAUGAUCAGCCACACUGGGACUGAGACACGGCCCAGACUCCUACGGGAGGCAGCAGUGGGGAAUAUUGGACAAGGGGCGAAAGCCUGAUCCAGCAAUGCCGCGUGAGUGAUGAAGGCCUUAGGGUUGUAAAGCUCUUUUACCCGGGAUGAUAAUGACAGUACCGGGAGAAUAAGCUCCGGCUAACUCCGU
rnacentral:rRNA from 1 species